rnacentral:rRNA from 1 species
AGUCAGUGGUGAAAUCGUGCGGCUCAACCGUAGAACUGCCAUGAAACUGGGGGGCUUGAAUACAGAUGAAGUAGNCGGAAUGAGUAGUGUAGCGGUGAAAUGCAUAGAUAUUACUCAGAACACCGAUUGCGUAGGCAGCUUACUAAACUGAUAUUGACGCUGAGGCACGAAAGCGUGGGGAGCGAACAGGAUUAGAUACCCUGGUAGUCCACGCAGUAAACGAUGUUCACUCGCUGUUUGCGAUAUACAGUAAGCGGCCUAGCGAAAGCAUUAAGUGAACCACCUGGGGAGUACGUCGGCAACGGUGAAACUCAAAGGAAUUGACGGGGGCCCGCACAAGCGGAGGAACAUGUGGUUUAAUUCGAUGAUACGCGAGGAACCUUACCUGGGCUUAAAUGUAGGUUGCAUGAGGUGGAAACACCCUUCCCUUCGGGGCUACCUACAAGGUGCUGCAUGGUUGUCGUCAGCUCGUGCCGUGAGGUGUCGGGUUAAGUCCCAUAACGAGCGCAACCCUUACCGUUAGUUGCCAUCAGGUCAAGCUGGGAACUCUAACGGGACUGCCACCGUAAGGUGAGAGGAAGGUGGGGAUGACGUCAAAUCAGCACGGCCCUUAUGUCCAGGGCUACACACGUGUUACAAUGGCCGGUACAGAGGGCAGCUACACCGCGAGGUGGUGCUAAUCCUAAAAGCCGGUCCCAGUUCGGAUCGUAGUCUGCAACCCGACUACGUGAAGUUGGAUUCGCUAGUAAUCGCGCAUCAGCCAUGGCGCGGUGAUACGUUCCCGGGCAUUGUACACACCGCCCGUCAAACCAUGGAAGCUGGGGGACAUGAAGUCUGUCACCGA